rnacentral:lncRNA from 1 species
CCCUGCGGGUUCGAGAACUAUGUAGACAUGACCCGAGUGACUCCUCGGUCAAUAUCCAAUAGCGAGACCUGGAUGCCCAUAUUGAAUCUCACAUAUUCUACGAAGAUCUUAUUGUUUGAACCUCAGUGCCAAGGAUUCAUAUAAUCCCGUAUGUCAUUCCCUUUGUCCUUCGGUAUGUUACUUGCCCGAGAUUCGAUCGUCAGUAUUCGCAUACCUAUUUCAAUCUCGUUUACCGGCAAGUCUCUUUACUCGUUCCGUAAUACAAGAUCCCGCAACUUACACUAAGUCACAUUGCUUGCAAGGCUUGUGUGUGAUGUUGUAUUACCGAGUGGGCCCCGAGAUACCUCUCCGUCACACGGAGUGACAAAUCCCAGUCUCGAUCCAUACUAACUCAACGAACACCUUCGGAGAUACCUGUAGAGCAUCUUUAUAGUCACCCAGUUACGUUGCGACGUUUGAUACACACAAAGCAUUCCUCCGGUGUCACUGAGUUAUAUGAUCUCAUGGUCAUAGGAACAAAUACUUGACACGCAGAAAACAGUAGCAACAAAAUGACACGAUCAACAUGCUACGUCUAUUAGUUUUGGGUCUAGUCCAUCACAUGAUUCUCCUAAUGAUGUGAUCCCGUUAUCAAGUAACAACACUUGCCUAUGGCCAGGAAACCUAGACCAUCUUUGAUCAACGAGCUAGUCAACUAGAGACUUACUAGGGAUAGUGUUUUGUCUAUGUAUCCACACAAGUAUUGUGUUUCCAAUCAAUACAAUUAUAGCAUGGAUAAUAAACGAUUAUCAUGAACUAAGAAAUAUAAUAAUAACUAAUUUAUUAUUGCCUCUAGGGCAUAUUUCCAACAGUCUCCCACUUGCACUAGAGUCAAUAAGCUAGGUCACAUCACCAUGUGACUCCAACGAAUCCAACACCCAUAUAGUUAUGGGGUCUGAUCACGUCUUGCUCGUGAGAGAGGUUUUAGUCAACGGUUCUGAAACUUUCAGAUCCGUGUGUUCUUUACAAAUCUUUAUGUCAUCUUAUAGAUGCUGCUACUAUGUGCUAUUCGGAAAUACUCCAAAUAUCCACUCUAUUAUACGAAUCCGUUUCACUACUCAUAGUUAUUCGGAUUAGUGUCAAAGCUUGAAUCGACAUAACCCUUUACGACAAACUCUUUAACCACCUCCAUAAUCGAGAAAAAUUCCUUAGUCCAUCAGUUACUAAGGAUAAAUUUUGACCGCUGCUAGUGAUUCAAUCAUGGAUCACUCUCUGUACCUCUCAACAGACUUUGAGUCAAGGCACUCAUCAGGUGCGGUACCCAGCAUGGCAUACUUCAGAUUCUACGGCCAAGGCAUAGAAGACGACCUUCGUCUAUUCUCUUUAUUCUGCCGGGGUCGGAUUUUGAGUCUUACUCAAAUUCACACCUCACAACGCAACCAAGAACUCCUUCUUUUCUGAUCUAUUUUGAACUCCUUCAAAAACUUGUCAAGGCAUGCAUCUUGUUGAAACUUCUAUUAAGCGCUUUCGAUCUAUCUUCAUAGAUCUUUGAUGCUCAACGUUCAAGUAGCGCAAUCCAGGUAUUCCUUUGAAAACUCCUUUCAAACAACCUUGUAUGCUUUACAGAAAUUCUACAUUACUUCUGAUCCACAAUAUGUCAACCACAUAUACUUAUCAGAAAUUCUAUAGUGCUCACACUCACUUCUUUGGAAAUACAAGUUUCUCAUAAACCUUGUACAAACCCAAAAUCUUUGAUCAUCUCAUCAAAGUGUAUAUUCCAACUCCGAGAUGCUUGCACCAGUCCAUUGAAGGAUCGCUGGAGCUUGCAUACUUGCUAGUAUCUUUAGGAUCGACAAAACCUCCUGGUUGUAUCACAUACAAUGUUUGCUCAAGGAAACCGUCGAGGAAACAAUGUUUUGACAUCCUAUGAGAAAUAUUUCAUAAAUAAUGCAGCAACUACUAACAUAAUUCUAACAGACUUUUAGCAUCGCUACGAGUAAGAAAGUCUCAUCAUAGUCAACUGUUUGAUCUUGUCGGAAACAUCUUUGCGACAAGUCGAGCUUUUCUUAAUAGUGACUUAUCACCAUCAUCGUCUGUCUUCCUUUUAAAGAUCCAUCUUUAAUCAACAGUCCUAUGACCAUCAAGUAGUUCUUCCAAAGUCUACACUUUGUUUUCAUACAUGGAUCCUCUCUCGGAUUUCAUGGCUUCCAGCCAUUUGUCGGAAUCCGGGCCCACCAUUGCUUUCUCCAUAACUCGUAGGUUCACUGUUGCUCAACAACAUGACCUCCAAGACAGGGUUACCGUACCACUCUGCAUUAGUACGCGACCUUGUCAACCUACGAGGCUUGUGGUAACUUGAUCCGAUGCUCGGUGAUCACCAUCAUCAGCUUUCACUUCAAUUGGUGUAGGCGCCACGGGAACAACUUCCUGCGCCCUGCUACACACUGGUUGAAGUGAUGAUUCAAUAACCUCAUCAAGUUCUACCACCCUCCCGCUCAAUUUUUUUUGAGAGAAACCUUUCCUCGAGAAAGGAUCCGUUUCUAGAAACAAACACUUUGCUUUUGGAUCUGAGAUAGGAGAUGUACCCAACUGUUUUGGAUAUCCUAUGAAGAUGCAUUUAUCUGCUUUGGGUUCGAGCUUAUCAGACUGAAACUUUUUCACAUAAGUGUCGAAGCCCCAAACUUUCAAGAAACGACAGUUUAGAUUUCUCUAAACCUCAUUCUAUACUGUGUCAUCUCAACGGAAAUACACGGUGCCCUAUUUAAAGUGAAUGCGGUUGUCUCUAAUGCAUAACCCAUAAAUGAUAGUGGUAAUUCGAUAAGAGACAUCAUAGCAUGCACCAUACCAAAUAGUGCGUGGCUAUGACGUUCAGACACAUCAUCACACUAUGAUGUUCCAGGUGGCAUGAACUGCGAAACAAUUUCCACAUUGUCUUAACUGCGUACCAAAACUCGUAACUCAAAUAUUCAUUUCUAUGAUCAUAUCGUAGACAGUUUAUCCUCUUGUUACGACGAACUUCACUCCUGAAAGAGAAUUGAACUUUUCAAUAUUUCAGACUUGUGAUUCAUUAAGUAAAUACUCUUGUAUCUACUCAAAUCGUCAUUGAAGUAAGAACAUAAUGAUAUCCACUGCGUGCCUUAGCACUUAUUGGACUGCACACAUCAAAAAUGCAUUACUCCCAACAAGUUACUCUACUUGUUUCAUGUGGCAUGUUUUGCAUGUCUCAAGUGAUUCAAAAUCAAGUGAGUCCAAACGAUCCAUCAGCAUGGAGCUUCUUCAUGCAUUUUACACCAACAUGACUCAAGUGGCAGUGCCACAACUAAGUGGUACUAUCAUUAUUACUUUUUUUAUCUUUUGGCACUAAUAUUAUGAACAUGUGUCACACUACGAUCGAGAUUCAAUAAAUCAUUGAGGGUAAUUAUUCAAGCAAAUAGAAUAACUAUUAUUCUUUUAAAUGAAUAAUCGUAUUGCAACAAACACGAUCCAAUCAUGUUCAUGCUCAACGCAAACACCAAAUAACAAUUAUUUGAGUUUCACCACCAAUCCCGAUGAUAGAGGGAGCGUGCGACAUUUGAUCAUAUCAACCUUGGAAACACUUCCAACACGUAUCGUCACCUCGCCUUUAGCUAGUCUCCGUUUAUGUCAUAGCUUUCAUUUCGUGUUACUAAUCACUUAGCAACCGAACCGGUAUCCAAUACCCUCGUGCUACUAGGAGUACUAGUAAAGUACACAUCAACAUCAUGUAUAUCAAAUAUACUUCUUUCGACUUUUGCCAGCCUUCUUAUCUACCAAGUAUCUAGAGUUGCUCCGCCUCGGUGACUGUUCCCCUCAUUACAGAAGCACUUAGUCUCGGGUUUGGGUUUAAUCUUGGGUCUCUUCAUUAGUGCAGCAAUUGUUUUGCCAUUUCACGAAGUAUCCCUUCUAGCCCUUGCCUUUCUUGAAACUUAGUGGUUUUACUAACCAUCAACUAUUGAUGCUCCUUCUUGAUUUCUACUUUCGCAGUGUCAAACAUCGCGAAUUGCUCAAGGAUCAUUGCAUCUAUCCUUGAUAUGUUAUAGUUCAUCACGAAGCUCUCACAGCUUGGUGGCAGUGACUUUGGAGAACCAUCACUAUCUCAUCUGGAAGAUUAACUCCCACUUGAUUCAAGCGAUUGUCGUACUCAGAUAAUCUGAGCACACGCUCAACGAUUGAACUUUUCUCCCUUACUUUGUGGACAAAGAGUCUUGUCAAAGGUCUCGUACCUCUUAACAAGGGCACAAGCAUGAAAUCACAAUUUCAUCUCUUUAGAACAUCUCUUAUGUUCCGUGACGUUUCAAAACGUCUUCGGUGCCUUGCUUCUAAGCCAUUAAGUAUUUUGUACUGAACUAUCGUGUAGUCAUCAGAAACGUGUAUGUCGGAUGUUCACAGCAUCCACAGACGACGCUCGAGGUGCAGCACACCGAGUGGUGCAUUAAGGACAUAAGCCUUCUGCGCAGCAACGAGGACAAUCCUCUGCAAAGUUUGCUACUAUCAACUUUCAACUAAAUUUUCUCUAGGAACAUAUAAAAAUAGUAGAGCUAUAGCGCAAGCUACAUCGUAAUUCGCAAAGACCAUUAGACUAUGUUCAUGACAAUUAGUUCAAUUAAUCAUAUUACUUAAGAACUCCCACUCAAAAAGUGCAUCUCUCUAGUCAUUUGAGUGGUACAUGAUCCAAAUCCACUAUCUCAAGUCCGAUCAUCACGUGAGUCGAGAAUAGUUUCAGUGGUAAGCAUCUCUAUGCUAAUCAUAUCAACUAUACGAUUCAUGCUCGACCUUUCGGUCUCAUGUGUUCCGAGGCCAUGUCUGCACAUGCUAGGCUCGUCAAGCUUAACCCGAGUGUUCCGCGUGUGCAACUAUUUUGCACCAGUUGUGUGUGAACGUUGAGUCUAUCACACCCGAUCAUCACGUGGUGUCUCGAAACAAAGAACUGUCGCAACGGUGCACAGUCGGGGAGAACACAAUUUCGUCUUGAAAUUUUAGUGAGAGAUCACCUCAUAAUGCUACGGUCGUUCUAAGCAAGAUAAGGUGCAUAAAGGAUUAACAUCACAUGCAAUUCAUAAGUGACAAGAUAUGGCCAUCAUCAUGUGCUUCUUGAUCUCCAUCACCAAAGCACCGGCACGAUCUUCUUGUCACCGGCGUCACACCAUGAUGUCCAUCAUCAUGAUCUCCAUCAACGUGUCGCCACCGGGGUUGUCGUGCUACUCAUGCUAUUACUACUAAAGCUACGUCCUAGCAAUAUAGUAAACGCAUCUGCAAGCACAAAUGUUAGUUUAAAGACAACCCUAUGGCUCCUGCCGGUUGCCGUACCAUCGACGUGCAAGUCGAUAUUAACUAUUACAACAUGAUCAUCUCAUACAGCCAAUAUAUCACAUCACAUCGUUGGCCAUAUCACAUCACAAGCAUACCCUGCAAAAACAAGUUAGACGUCCUCUAAUUGUUGUUGCAUGUUUUACGUGGUGACCAUGGGUAUCUAGUAGGAUCGCAUCUUACUUACGCAAACACCACAACGGAGAUAUAUGAAUUGCUAUUUAACCUCAUCCAAGGACCUCCUUGGUCAAAUCCGAUUCAAUUAAAGUUGGAGAAACCGACACUCGCCGGUCAUCUUUGAGCAACGGAGUUACUCGUAGCGAUGAAACCAGUCUCUCGUAAGCGUACGAGUAAUGUCAGUCCGAGCCGCUUCGAUCCAACAAUACCGCGGAAUCAAGAAAAGACUAAGGAGGGCAGCAAAACGCACAUCACCGCCCACAAAAACUUUUGUGUUCUACUCGAGAUUACAUCUACGCAUGAACCUAGCUCAUGAUGCCACUGUUGGGAACGUCGCAUGGGAAACAAAAAAUUUCCUACGCGCACGAAGUCCUAUCAUGGUGAUGUCCAUCUACGAGAGGGGAUUUCCGAUCUACGUACCCUUGUAGAUCGCACAGCAGAAGCGUUAGUGAACACGGUUGAUGUAGUGGAACGUCCUCACGCCCCUCGAUCCGCCCCGCGAACCGUCCCACGAACCGUCCCGCGAUCCGUCCCACGAUCUAGUGCCGAACGGACGGCACCUCCGCGUUCAGCACACGUACAGCUCGACGAUGAUCUCGGCCUUCUUGAUACAACAAGAGAGACGAAGAGGUAGAUGAGUUCUCCGGCAGCGUGAUGGCGCUCCGGAGGUUGGUGGUGAUCCUAUCUCAGCAGGGCUUCGCCCGAGCUCUGCAGAAACGCGAUCUAGAGGUAAAACCGUGGAGGUAUGUGGUCGGGCUGCCUUAAAAGUUGUCUCAAAUCAGCCCUAAUUGCUCCAUGUAUAUAGGAGGAGGGAGGGGAGGCUUGCCUUGAGGCUCAAGGAGCCCCAAGGGCUGCACCACCAAGGGAGGAGGAGUCCUCCUCCAAUCCUAGUCCAACUAGGAUUGGAAAGUGGAGUCCUUCUCUCCUUUCCCACCUCUUUUUUUUCUUUUCUCUUUGAUUUUCUAUCCUUGGCGCAUAGGGCCUUCUUGGGCUGUCCCACUAGCCCACCAAGGGCUGGUGCACCACCCCAAGGCCUAUGGGCUUCCCCGGGGUGGGUUGCCCCCCCGGUGAACACCCGGAACCCAUUCAUCAUUCCCGAUACAUUCCUGAUAACUCCGAAAACCUUCGAGUAAUCAAAUGAGGUCAUCCUAUACAUCAAUCUUCGUUUCUGGACCAUUCCGGAAACCCUCGUGACGUCCGUGAUCUCAUCCGGGAUUCCGAACAACAUUCGGUAACCAACCAUAUAACUCAAAUACGCAUAAAACAACGUCGAACCUUAAGUGUGCAGACCCUGCGGGUUCGAGAACUAUGUAGACAUGACCCGAGUGACUCCUCGGUCAAUAUCCAAUAGCGAGACCUGGAUGCCCAUAUUGAAUCCCACAUAUUCUACGAAGAUCUUAUCGUUUGAACCUCAGUGCCAAGGAUUCAUAUAAUCCCGUAUGUCAUUCCCUUUGUCCUUCGGUAUGUUACUUGCCCGAGAUUCGAUCGUCAGUAUUCGCAUACCUAUUUCAAUCUCGUUUACCGACAAGUCUCUUUACUCGUUCCGUAAUACAAGCUCCCGCAACUUACACUAAGUCACAUUGCUUGCAAGGCUUGUGUGUGAUGUUGUAUUACCGAGUGGGCCCCGAGAUACCUCUCCGUCACACGGAGUGACAAAUCCCAGUCUCGAUCCAUACUAACUCAACGAACACCUUCGGAGAUAC